GUUUUAGAAAUGAAAACUUCGGCCGCAAUCUUCGCUAUUAAUUAACUGAUUUAUAAUUGAAUGAUACGCCAUUGGUUGCUUCUUAGCGAAUCCUGGGAUACUACACGAAUGAUUGUAGGAGUUUUUAGUCAACAAAUAGUUCAUAAAUCUAUCAAGUGUGAGACAGUUUCAGAAUUUAGCCGCUAGGUGGUAUCACAGUGUGUUGUAUUGAUGAAGUAGAGAAGACACUACGAAGAAAGUUUUCAAUUAUUUUCGAUUUUAAAUAAUAAAUUUGAUGGUAAGUUUGCAUUAUUUAAUUCAUUUCAAUUAUAUUUUUUUAUUUAAAGUU